UCACCACUACAGAACCCACCACCACCACAGCAACAACCACCACUACAGAACCCACCACCACCACUACAGAACCCACCACCACCACAGCAACAACCACCACCACCACCACCAGCCCACUACCACCUAGAUGUUUAAUUCAGGCUGUCAACGGAGUGUUCUACUGGUCCUCCCCCGGCUUCGGCAUCACCAACUACCCGAAUAACUUCAACUGCGCAGUGCGAGGGUUUUCGACGAGAUCCAUGUUGACGCUGAAACUGGAAACGUUCACGCUGCAGAGAGCCAGGAGAAGGAGAUGCGUGGAUGGCGUCGAGUUAACAUUCUUGUACAAUCGAACGAGAACGUUGUGUGGAUCUCGAUCAGGGAGAGUUUUUACAUCGCCAUCUUUCAAUUUCAACUCGAGAUUCUUCACCAACCCCAAGAGAACCUAUCAGGGCUACAACAUCUCCUUCACGCCUGCAACCACAAGUUGUCACCAGAUAAUCACGGCAGCUGUUGGUCAGACUGGCACAAUAACUUCCCCUCCAGCAGAAAAAUACUGCGAAUACCGAAUCCAGGCUCCUUCUGGAAGUCGCGUGCAGGUCGACGAAGUUACAUCUAGGAUUCGAGGGACAAGGAACUGUGCAAUUGACUGGCUUCUGCUGAACGGGAGGAGUGAGAGGAUGUACCCGCCAGACACCAGCUUAAUUAUCUGCGGCAAGAGGGUAGUGUCUUCACCUCUGACAUCCGAGACCAAUGAGAUGUAUGCAGCUUAUCAAGGCACCAGGAGGAGAAGCCGCGGUGUCACUAUCAAGUAUACCAUCAUCUAAGUCAAACGUUCCUUGAUUUUCACGCUCACUCCGUGGACGAUGCAAUCACUACUCCAAUGUAUCUGUACGGGCACGAAUUCAUUAUUACACCUGCAACCCUUUCAGUUUACCUCUUGCCCACGAUGUUUCUUUGUUUAAAAUCAUAUCGCUGGUAAGCCAAGUCAGCUGAUAAAACUUAAACGAGGAACAGUAGCAUCCUUAUAGUGUUCUACAAUAACCGCCCCAAGAAAAUAAAUAUAUGCAGCAG